rnacentral:rRNA from 1 species
UACGGGGGGGGCAAGCGUUGUUCGGAAUUACUGGGCGUAAAGGGCUCGUAGGCGGCCAACUAAGUCGGAUGUGAAAUCCCCAGGCUUAACCUGGGAAUUGCAUCCGAUACUGGAUGGCUUGAAUCCGGGAGAGGGAUGCGGAAUUCCAGGUGUAGCGGUGAAAUGCGUAGAUAUCGAGAGGAACACCUGCGGCGAAGGCGGGUUGCUGGGCUGACACUGACGCUGAAGCGCGAAAGCUAGGGGAGCGAACGGG